GAUGAAGAACGUAGCGAAAUGCGAUAAGUAAUGUGAAUUGCAGAAUUCAGUGAAUCAUCGAAUCUUUGAACGCACAUUGCGCCCGCCAGUAUUCUGGCGGGCAUGCCUGUUCGAGCGUCAUUUCAACCCUCAGGGCCCUUUUGGACCUGGCGUUGGGGCUCGGCCGCUACCCUGCGGCCGUCCCCGAAAGAUAGUGGCGGUCUCGCUGUAGCCUCCUCUGCGUAGUAGUUACAUCUCGCACUGGAACGCGGCGCGGCCAUGCCGUUAAACACCCCACUUCUCAAGGUUGACCUCGGAUCAGGUAGGAAUACCCGCUGAACUUAAGCAUAUCAAAAGCGGAGA
rnacentral:misc_RNA from 1 species